GAUCCUGGCUCAGGACUAACGCUGGCGGCGCGCCUAACACAUGCAAGUCGAACGAGUGAGAGAGAGCUUGCUUUCUCGAGCGAGUGGCGAACGGGUGAGUAACGCGUGAGGAACCUGCCUCAAAGAGGGGGACAACAGUUGGAAACGACUGCUAAUACCGCAUAAGCCCACGGGUCGGCAUCGACCAGAGGGAAAAGGAGCAAUCCGCUUUGAGAUGGCCUCGCGUCCGAUUAG
rnacentral:rRNA from 1 species